rnacentral:pre_miRNA from 1 species
GCUUAUGAGUGAGCAGAGAAAGUGGUUUCUUGACAUGGAAACUACUCUUAGUGAAGAUGCUGUGAA